CCACUAAAACAGAGUGCAAAACACAGAGUAAUUAAAGCAGGAAGUUCCUGUGUGUGCUUAUGACUGAUCUGCAGUGACUCAACAGAGAACUGAACAGAUCUGACUGAACAUGGACAGAUGCUUCAUAUUGAUUCUCAUUGUGGGAACAGGUUUGGUGACUGGAGACAGCAUUGAGCCAGAUGAAUGGAGAGAAAAAACGUAUCAAGAAAGAGAAACUGUCAAGCUGAGCUGCACAUAUAGUGCAAACAGUGAAUAUGUUUAUCUGUACUGGUACAGACAGUAUCUCAACAGAGAACCUAAGUAUUUAUUACGUAAAGGUGGACGAUCAAAUAGUUAUGCACACACCUCUGAUAAUCGGUUUCAGUCGAUUACAUCACGUACAUCCACUGAACUCACUAUCACUGUCGUACAUCUGUCAGAUUCAGCUCUUUAUUAUUGUGCUCUAAGAGUAGCAGCCCAGUGAUACAAAAUAUGAGACAUGUCAUACAAAAACCUGAAGCUCUUUUUUUACUUUGAACCUAUAGUGAAAACCACAAUC